rnacentral:lncRNA from 1 species
CUGUGCUUUAGGCUCUCAAGGCUCUACCUGUGUUGGAAUUUUUCCUGGCAGAGAAGUCAUAUAUUGAGAAUUACUUCUCCUUUGAUACUAUAACAUGAAUAGAAGCUUUCUAGUUCCUGAUGAGGAAAUUAGGAACCAGAGCAUACAAGUAACAAGUACAAGAGCCAGGAAUUGAAUCCAGGACUAUUGACUCCAAAUCUAGUGCUCCUUCUUCUGAAAUAAAUUUCUGCAAAGACAGAGAGAGAGACAAAGAUGUUAUCUCCUUCAGCCCUGAGAGACAGUCUCUGAGAGUGACUGCCAACUGCCAGAGACCAACUGCCAACUGCCAGAGAAAGAAAUUGACAUAGAAAAAAACAGUUAUAACUGUCACAUCUGAAAUCAACAUGCUCUCUCAGCUCUGCUUCAAACUCCAGUUCUUUUCUCAAGCCAGCCACUUUAUUUCUUAU